rnacentral:hammerhead_ribozyme from 1 species
AUCUAUCUAACGAGUCCCAAAUAGGGCGAAACGCGCGUCCUGGAU